CUCUUUAUUUCUCCCUGUUCAUCCCC
rnacentral:piRNA from 1 species